CCCCUAUUUUCACCUUUUAGGGAUUGAAUUUUCAAAAAUCCGUUCUUAGCGGGUGCCUACGUCUAUGAAAUAGCUAUCUAUCAUGCCAAAUUUCAACCCGAUCGAUCCGUCCAGUAGUUGAGCUGUGCGUUGAUAAAUUAGUCAGUCAGUCAAUCAGUCAGUCAAUCAGUCAGUCAGUCA